rnacentral:ncRNA from 2 species
ACUAAAAAUAGAGGCGCUAGAAGUAUUAGUAGUCAAGUUCAAAAAAAUUUGACGAAAGGAUUAUAGCCGAAUAAGGUCACAAGCCUUAUGGUAACUGGGGAAAUACCUCUUUUACUCUCAACAUGUAAAAAUGUUGGUGGAGCUAUUUAAAUU